rnacentral:rRNA from 1 species
GACGAACGCUGGCGGCAGGCCUAACACAUGCAAGUCGAGCGAGCGGCGGACGGGUGAGUAAUGUCUGGGAAACUGCCUGAUGGAGGGGGAUAACCACCGGAAACGGUAGCUAAUACCGCAUAUCACCAGAUGUUCUCAGUUGGUCUUAGCUAGUAGGUGGGGUAACGGCUCACCCAGCCUACGAUCCCUAGCUGGCCUGAGAGGAUGACCAGCCACACUGGAACUGAGACACGGUCCAGACUCCUACGGGAGGCAGCAGUGGGGAAUAUUGCACAAUGGGCGCAAGCCUGAUGCAGCCAUGCCGCGUGAGUGAAGAAGGCCUUCGGGUUGUAAAGCACUUUCAGCGGGGAGGCGUUACCCACAGAAGAAGCACCGGCUAACUCCGUGCCAGCAGCCGCGGUAAUAC